rnacentral:rRNA from 1 species
CCUACGGGAGGCAGCAGUGAGGAAUAUUGGUCAAUGGACGAGAGUCUGAACCAGCCAAGUAGCGUGAAGGAUGACUGCCCUAUGGGUUGUAAACUUCUUUUAUAUGGGAAUAAAAUGUUCCACGUGUGGGAUUUUGUAUGUACCAUAUGAAUAAGGAUCGGCUAAAUCCGUGCCAGCAGCCGCGGUAAUCCGGAGGAUCCGAGCGUUAUCCGGAUUUAUUGGGUUUAAAGGGAGCGUAGGUGGAUUGUUAAGUCAGUUGUGAAAGUUUGCGGCUGAACCGUAAAAUUGCAGUUGAAACUGGCAGUCUUGAGUACAGUAGAGGUGGGCGGAAUUCGUGGUGUAGCGGUGAAAUGCUUAGAUAUCACGAAGAACUCCGAUUGCGAAGGCAGUUCACUGGACUGCAACUGACACUGAGGCUCGAAAGUGUGGGUAUCAAACAGGAUUAGAUACCAGGGUAGUC